rnacentral:rRNA from 1 species
GAUGAACGCUAGCGAUAGGCUUAACACAUGCAAGUCGAGGGGCAGCACAAGGUAGCUUGCUAUCUGGGUGGCGACCGGCGCACGGGUGCGUAACGCGUAUGCAACUUGCCCUAUACAGGAGGAUAACCUGUCGAAAGACGGACUAAUACUGCGUAUGCUCACAACUUGGCAUCAAGUGGUGAGGAAAGAAAUUCGGUAUAGUAUAGGCAUGCGUCCCAUUAGCUUGUUGGUUAGGUAACGGCUCACCAAGGCAACGAUGGGUAGGGGAACUGAGAGGUUUAUACCCCACACUGGUACUGAGACACGGACCAGACUCCUACGGGAGGAAGCAGUGAGGAAUAUUGAUCAAUGGGCGCGAGCCUGAACCAGCCAAGUCGCGUGAAGGAUGACUGUCUUAUGGAUUGUAAACUUCUUUUAUACGGGAAUAACAAGAGUAACGUGUGACUCCCUGCAUGUACCGUAUGAAUAAGCAUCGGCUAACUCCGUG